AAAUUCUCCACUUUCAAAGAGGGUCCCUUUAUUAUAUUACCUAUCUUGAAUAUGACAGAUUCACGAGCAGAAAAUGUAUUCUUACAACGCCAUGCUAUAUUGCAACACUUGUACAAGCGGAAAAUGAAUACUGCAACAUCACAAUUUCAACAGGGGACAUCAAAAUUUAAAAAGCUAAAUUUUCCGGCGUGAGCAAAUACGUGUUCAAUUUGGGACUGGGGGUAAAAGCGGGAUCACUUCGGUUCUGACACUUUUUCAUUCUGUUUCCGCUCUCAUCAUUUUUCAGAAUCUUCUUUGCAUUGACACGAAGACUGAAACGGCUUCUCUUCUGCAACUCAUUCUACACCGCAUUUACUUUUGGUCCGUCAUGUCAGUAGUUGUGUAGAAAAUUAAGAUUACUCCAGUUUGGGUUAUUGCAAAAACUGAAUUUAACAUUAACUUCAAAAAUAUUGACAAAAGGAUAAUUUAAAAAAAUGUUACAGGUAUCUAACAAGGACGCCCGGAUUCGCGUGAAAGAGUUGUAUCAUACAAAAUAAACUUAAAUCACUAUA